rnacentral:rRNA from 1 species
AUUGAACGCUGGCGGCAUGCCUUACACAUGCAAGUCGAACGGUAGAGGGGGCAACCCCUCGAGAGUGGCGAACGGGUGAGUAAAGCAUCGGAACGUGCCCAGUAGUGGGGGAUAGCCCGGCGAAAGCCGGAUUAAUACCGCAUGAGACCUACGGGUGAAAGGGGGGGAUCGCAAGACCUCUCGCUAUUGGAGCGGCCGAUGUCAGAUUAGGUAGUUGGUGGGGUAAAGGCCUACCAAGCCGACGAUCUGUAGCUGGUCUGAGAGGACGACCAGCCACACUGGGACUGAGACACGGCCCAGACUCCUACGGGAGGCAGCAGUGGGGAAUUUUGGACAAUGGGCGAAAGCCUGAUCCAGCCAUGCCGCGUGCGGGAAGAAGGCCUUCGGGUUGUAAACCGCUUUUGUCAGGGAAGAAAUCCUUUGAGCUAAUACCUCGGGGGGAUGACGGUACCUGAAGAAUAAGCACCGGCUAACUACGUGCCAGCCGCCGCUGUAAAAC